GCGCCUUUAGCUCAACGGCAGAGCAGCUGCUCCACACGCAGAAGGUUCCGGGUUCAAAUCCCAGAAGGCGCACCA
rnacentral:tRNA from 1 species